GAUGAACGCUGGCGGCGUGCCUAAUACAUGCAAGUCGAGCGAACGGACGAGAAGCUUGCUUCUCUGAUGUUAGCGGCGGACGGGUGAGUAACACGUGGCUAACCUACCUAUAAGACUGGGAUAACUUCGGGAAACCGGAGCUAAUACCGGAUAAUAUUUUGAACCGCAUGGUUCAAAAGUGAAAGACGGUCUUGCUGUCACUUAUAGAUGGAUCCGCGCUGCAUUAGCUAGUUGGUAAGGUAACGGCUUACCAAGGCAACGAUGCAUAGCCGACCUGAGAGGGUGAUCGGCCACACUGGAACUGAGACACGGUCAAGACUCCGACGGGAGGCAGCAGUAGGGAAGCUUCCGCAAUGGGCGAAAGCGUGACGGAGCAACGCCGCGUGAGUGAUGAAGGUCUUCGGAUCGUAAAACUCUGUUAUUAGGGAAGAACAUAUGUGUAAGUAACUGUGCACAGCUUGACGGUACCUAAUCAGAAAGCCACGGCUAACUACGUG
rnacentral:rRNA from 1 species